rnacentral:tRNA from 1 species
GGCUCAGUAUCCGAACUGGUAUAGGAGAUGGUCUUAAACACCAUUGGGCAUUUGUCCGUACGGGUUCGAGUCCCGUCUGAGCUA